AUUUGCUCACAAAAAAUAUUUACAAUAGAAAUAUAGUUAAAAUACAAUAAUAUAAGGGAGCUAGGGACCUUUUGAAAUCCUGUUGAACUUUUGAUAUAAGGCCCCUAUAUUGUUUUGAUUAAACUUAAAUACAUGAAUCUAAAUUGGUUCAAUAUAUAUCAUAUAUGUUUUAGCUAACAAUAUUUAUAUUAACAAGUAAUUUAAUUUUGCUUUUUUCUUAAAGGAAAAAUACGAUUUUUGAUUUUUAAUUUCUUCAUCAAGACAAUUCCAUAUCGAAAUUCCCUUGUUAAAAACGGUGUGAAAACGAUAGUUCGUUCUUUUAUAACUAACGUGUAAUUUUGAAGAGUUUCGCGUAUUAUAAUUAUG